UACAGAGGUCUCGAGCGUUAGGCGGAAUCACUGGGCUUAAAGCGUGUGUAGGCGGAUCGGUAAGUCGGGGGUGAAAUCCUGAGGCUCAACCUCAGAACUGCCUUCGAUACUGGCAAUCUCGAGUCCGGAAGAGGUUGGUGGAACAGCUAGUGUAGAGGUGAAAUUCGUAGAUAUUAGCUAGAACACCAGUGGCGAAGGCGGCCAACUGGUCCGGUACUGACGCUGAGGUGCGAAAGCGUGGGGAGCAAACAGG
rnacentral:rRNA from 1 species